UCCGCCACAGGAACAAUAGUAUCGAAGAAUCUAAGAUGCAUCAAUAUGCCACCUAUUGCAAUCAAUGUACCACUCGUAUUUCUAAUGAAAAAACUUAAUCCAUUUGAAUCUCUACAAUUCUGAACGUUGCUAUCAAAGUUGACUUUAAGGAAAUUAGGAGGUGGUGGUUUCCAAGUAAAGUAAGUCAUCUAUGGGAUCACAGAACCUUUUAAAAAAUAAUAUGUAGUUAAUUUCAAAAAUAAGUUUUAAAAUUUUCACUACUAAAAAUAAAAAUAAAAUAAAUAGAAGAAAAGUUAGAUCAUUAGCAUGGGAUUGAAGUACGUGGUAAAGCCAUUGGGACCCUAUAAGUAGUGUAGACCCCUAUAUUAAAAGGUUUCAUGUUACCACCAAUGCCCGAUUGCAAUGUUUUUUUAAAAUUGAAUUUUUUUUGGAGAUCUACGAUAUGACACCUCCUCUAAAAGAGGCUGCUCAGCUAGCGAUCAAGCACAAAUUCCAUCAUUUGGGCUCCAAAUAAGCCGAUCAAAUCGAUUUUUUUCAGGUAAGAAUUUGACAAGACAUAUCUUCCAAUCCAGGAAGAUUUAGGGGAAGUAACAAAAUAAAAAAUUAAUAAAAAAAAUCUAGAUCUACCUCAUGUAGAAUUUUAUCUUUUUUAUAUUUAUUUUCCACUAAACAUAUCUAUUUUGGAAAGCUAGUCUCGUUUGAAUUAGGAGAAGAAUUUUAUCCUAAUUGUGCAAGGGAGAACCUCCCUAUAAUAAAUAGAGACUAUGUAUUUUAGUUUAUUAUUCAUCAAUGGAUCAUCAAUAA
rnacentral:lncRNA from 1 species